rnacentral:rRNA from 1 species
GUCCAGACUCCUACGGGAGGCAGCAGUGGGGAAUAUUGCACAAUGGGGGAAACCCUGAUGCAGCGACGCCGCGUGAGUGAAGAAGUAUUUCGGUAUGUAAAGCUCUAUCAGCAGGAAGGAAAAUGACGGUACCUGACUAAGAAGCCCCGGCUAACUACGUGCCAGCAGCCGCGGUAAUACGUAGGGGGCAAGCGUUGUCCGGAUUUACUGGGUGUAAAGGGAGCGUAGACGGUGAAGCAAGUCUGAAGUGAAAGGCGGGGGCUCAACCCCCGGACUGCUUUGGAAACUGUUUGACUGGAGUGCAGGAGAGGUAAGUGGAAUUCCUAGUGUAGCGGUGAAAUGCGUAGAUAUUAGGAGGAACACCAGUGGCGAAGGCGGCUUACUGGACUGUAACUGACGUUGAGGCUCGAAAGCGUGGGGAGCAAACAGGAUUAGAUACCCGGGUA